UGAAUACGAGAUGCUACGGCGUCGAAGCAGUCUAUGUCAUACUUCCAAGAAAAGCUCGCACUGUCAUAAACAAAUAAUGCCUGUACCAUAACCGACACAGGUGGGUAGGUAGAGUAUACUAAGGGGCGCGAGAUAACCCUCUCUAAGGAACUCGGCAAAAUGACUCCGUAACUUCGGGAGAAGGAGUGCCUUAUUUUUAUAAGGUUGCAAUAACAAGAUCCAAGCAACUGUUUACCAAAAACACAGGUCUCCGCUAAGUCGUAAGACGAUGUAUGGGGGCUGACGCCUGCCCAGUGCCAGAAGGUUAAAGAAGUUGGUUAGCAACCGCGAAGCUGAUAACUGAAGCCCUGGUGAACGGCGGCCGUAACUAUAACGGUCCUAAGGUAGCGAAAUUCCUUGUCGGGUAAGUUCCGACCCGCACGAAAGGCGUAAUGAUUUGGAUACUGUCUCGGAGAGGGGCUCGGUGAAAUAGACUUGUCUGUGAAGAUGCGGACUACCUGCACCUGGACAGAAAGACCCUAUGAAGCUUUACUGUAACUUGAAAUUGAAAUUGGACUUUACUUGCGCAGUAUAGGUGGGAGGCGUUGAAAAUACUCUUGCGGGAGUAUUGGAGCCAUCAGUGAGAUACCACUCUUGUAAUGUUAGAUUUCUAACUUUGGAUCAUUAUCUGGUCAAAGAACAGUUUCAGGCGGGCAGUUUGACUGGGGCGGUCGCCUCCUAAACGGUAACGGAGGCGCACAAAGGUUUCCUCUGAACGGGUAGAAAUCGUAUCUAGAGUGUAAAGGCAUAAGGAAGCUUGACUGUGAGACCUACAAGUCGAGCAGGGACGAAAGUCGGUCUUAGUGAUCUGACGGUGCUGAGUGGAAAGGCCGUCACUCAACGGAUAAAAGUUACUCUAAGGAUAACAGGCUGAUCUCCCCCAAGAGUUCACAUCGACGGGGAGGUUUGGCACCUCGAUGUCGGCUCAUCGCAUCCUGGGGCGGUAGUACGUCCCAAGGGUUGGGCUGUUCGCCCAUGAAAGCGGUACGCGAGCUGGGUUCAGAACGUCGUGAGACAGUUCGGUCCAUAUCCGGUGUAGGCGUUAGAAUAUUGAGAGGAGCCUUCUUUAGUACGAGAGGACCGAGAAGGACAUACCUCUGGUGUACCAGUUAUCGUGCCAACGGUAAACGCUGGGUAGCCAUGUAUGGAGUGGAUAACCGCUGAAAGCAUCUAAGUGGGAAGCCCACCUCAAGAUGAGUGCUCUCACAGGGUUAACCUGGUAAGGUCACGGGAAGACCACCCGUUAAUAGGCACUAGGUGGAAGUCCAGUAAUGGAUGGAGCCAAGGUGUACUAACAGACCGAGGGCUUGACC
rnacentral:rRNA from 1 species